rnacentral:rRNA from 1 species
UACGUAGGUGGCAAGCGUUGUCCGGAUUUAUUGGGUUUAAAGGGUGCGUAGGCGGCCCUGUAAGUCAGUGCUGAAAUACCCCGGCUUAACCGGGGGGGUGGCAUUGAUACUGCAGGGCUUGAGUACAGAUGAGGUAGGCGGAAUUGACGGUGUAGCGGUGAAAUGCAUAGAUAUCGUCAAGAACACCGAUAGCGAAGGCAGCUUACUGGGCUGUAACUGACGCUGAUGCACGAAAGCCAGGGGAGCAAACGGG